rnacentral:rRNA from 1 species
CCUACGGGUGGCAGCAGUGAGGAAUAUUGGUCAAUGGGCUUACGCCUGAACCAGCCAAGUCGCGUGAGGGAAGACUGCCCUAUGGGUUGUAAACCUCUUUUGUCAGGGAGCAACGCCGGCUACGUGUAGCCGGACUGAGAGUACCUGAAGACAAAGCAUCGGCUAACUCCGUGCCAGCAGCCGCGGUAAUACGGAGGAUGCGAGCGUUAUCCGGAUUUAUUGGGUUUAAAGGGUGCGUAGGCGGAAUGCCAAGUCAGCGGUAAAAUCGCGGGGCUCAACCUCGCUCCGCCGUUGAAACUGGCGGUCUUGAGUGGGCGAGAGGUAGGCAGAAUGCGUGGUGUAGCGGUGAAAUGCGUAGAUAUCACGCAGAACUCCGAUGGCGAAGGCAGCAUACCGGAGCCCAACUGACGCUGAAGCGCGAAAGCGUGGGUAUCGAACAGGAUUAGAUACCCUUGUAGUC